rnacentral:rRNA from 1 species
GAUGAACGCUGGCGGCGUGCCUAAUACAUGCAAGUCAAGCGAACGGACGAGAAGCUUGCUUCUCUGAUGUUAGCGGCGGACGGGUGAGUAACACGUGGAUAACCUACCUAUAAGACUGGGAUAACUUCGGGAAACCGGAGCUAAUACCGGAUAAUAUUUUGAACCGCAUGGUUCAAAAGUGAAAGACGGUCUUGCUGUCACUUAUAGAUGGAUCCGCGCUGCAUUAGCUAGUUGGUAAGGUAACGGCUUACCAAGGCAACGAUGCAUAGCCGACCUGAGAGGGUGAUCGGCCACACUGGAACUGAGACACGGUCCAGACUCCUACGGGAGGCGGCAGUAGGGAAUCUUCCGCAAAGGGCGAAAGCCUGACGGAGCAACGCCGCGUGAGUGAUGAAGGUCUUCGGAUCGUAAAACUCUGUUAUUAGGGAAGAACAUAUGUGUAAGUAACUGUGCACAUCUUGACGGUACCUAAUCAGAAAGCCACGGCUAACUACGUG